rnacentral:rRNA from 1 species
AAGUCGUAACAAGGUUUCCGUAGGUGAACCUGCGGAAGGAUCAUUACAGAGUGAACGAGGGAGGGGCGCCCCCUGGGGCCUCCCUCCCGGAAAGCUCCCAACCCCAACCCCAACACUCGUAAAAACGUGAGCAGCGUCUGACGCGGUUGACGAAAGAAAACCGAAUCAAAACUUUCAACAACGGAUCUCUUGGUUCUGGCAUCGAUGAAGAACGCAGCGAAAUGCGAUAAGUAAUGUGAAUUGCAGAAUUCAGUGAAUCAUCGAAUCUUUGAACGCACAUUGCGCCCGUCGGCAUUCCGGCGGGCACGCCUGUCCGAGCGUCAUUAAGAAACCCCUCGGGUGCCCUCGUGCCCCGGCGUUGGGGCGCGCCGACGGAGCCUCUCAGGCGACGGCGGCGGCCCUCGAACCCAUCGGCGGUGCUUGCAGCAGGACCGUCCGGCGUUGCGGAUUCGUUUUCCGCUGGCCGGUCCCUCGAGCGCCCCGAAAAAAGCUCACCUCAAAGGACCUCGGAUCAGGCGGGGUUACCCSGCUGAACUUAAGCAUAUCAUAAGCGGAGGAAAAAGAAACCAACAGGGAUUGCCCAGUAACGGCGAGUGAAGCGGCAACAGCUCAAUUUGAAAUCUGGCCUCGCUCGAGGUCCGAGUUGUAAUUUGUAGAGGAUGCCUCGGGGCGCCGCUCCGGCCCAAGUUCCUUGGAAGAAGGACGUCGCAGAGGGUGAGAACCCCGUACGCGGCCGGGCGCGGACCCCGUGUGAGGCUCCUUCGACGAGUCGAGUUGUUUGGGAAUGCAGCUCUAAUUGGGAGGUAAAUUUCUUCUAAAGCUAAAUACUGGCCAGAGACCGAUAGCGCACAAGUAGAGUGAUCGAAAGAUGAAAAGCACUUUGGAAAGAGAGUUAAAAAGCACGUGAAAUUGUUGAAAGGGAAGCGCUUGCGACCAGACUCGAGCGCGCGUGCUCCGCCGUUCCCCUUGUGGGCCGGUUUACUCACGCGCGAGCGGGCCAACGUCGGUUCUGGCGGUCGGUGAAAGGCUCUGGGAACGUGGCUCGCCCUUCGGGGAGAGCGUUACAGCCCAGGGUGGAAUCCGACCUGCCGGGACCGAGGACUGCGCUUCGGCCAGGACGUUGGCGUAAUGGUCGCAAGCGGC